GUUAAUCGGAAUUACUGGGCGUAAAGCGCACGCAGGCGGUUUGUUAAGUCAGAUGUGAAAUCCCCGGGCUCAACCUGGGAACUGCAUCUGAUACUGGCAAGCUUGAGUCUCGUAGAGGGGGGUAGAAUUCCAGGUGUAGCGGUGAAAUGCGUAGAGAUCUGGAGGAAUACCGGUGGCGAAGGCGGCCCCCUGGACGAAGACUGACGCUCAGGUGCGAAAGCGUGGGGAGCAAACAGGAUUAGAUACCCUGGUAGUCCACGCCGUAAACGAUGUCGACUUGGAGGUUGUGCCCUUGAGGCGUGGCUUCCGGAGCUAACGCGUUAAGUCGACCGCCUGGGGAGUACGGCCGCAAGGUUAAAACUCAAAUGAAUUGACGGGGGCCCGCACAAGCGGUGGAGCAUGUGGUUUAAUUCGAUGCAACGCGAAGAACC
rnacentral:rRNA from 1 species